UGUCUGGAAAAUAAUUUCCAAGCAGAAGGAAGGCUAUUAUCAUACCUAUGAAAACUAUAAUUACAGAACUCCCCUGACCCCAGAAACUGAACACAAAGACUCGUGUCUGCCAUAGGAGGCUGGGCAUCCGUGCUGCUGCACACCAGGCACCCGCAGCGAGGAAGUGCUGCCCACGUGGAGACUGGAAUUCUGUGGCCAAAAAAAAGGACAUUUUACUGAAAAUCUUUAAUGCUCUUCUGCUCUCAGUAGUUACUGUAAGGAUCUAAUGAGGCUCAGACUGCACCCAGUGCAGGUGCUGCCUCGGAGGGAAUUCUGUGCACUGCUCCUGAUGAAGAAUAUUUCCUUUAUCCCC